GUGCCUGUUUUGGCAGCACAUUUAGUAAAACUGGAACAAUACAGAGAAGAUUAGCAUGGCCCCUGCACAAGGAUGGCACACAAACUUAUGAAGUGUUCCAUGUUUUG
rnacentral:snRNA from 1 species